CUAUAGCUAGUUAUGCUGAUUUGCCCACCUCCCUGAUGGGGCUCAGUGUGCAGUGGCUGCAAAAAGCAGGUUCCCUGGUUGUGUAUGCAGCAUAUUCCUUGUAUGUGUUGCUCUAAGGGACUUUGGAGACAUCA